CAAAAGGCGUUGAGAAGAGAUAGUAAGUAUCCUGAAUACUUCAGAGAGAAGCCGGACGGUGCAAGGCUUUGUGGAGGGGUGCUGAACCGGUCUUUGAGCCGCAGGCCGAAAAGAGAUGAGUAGGCCCCGCCGGAGUUCCACCGUUACAGGGAAAGAGUAUCAGACACAGGAUGUGUUACGUACUCGCAGAGAGCAGAAUGUAAGUUCUGAAGUUAGGUGGUACCACGGAUAAUGUAUUUAUUCGCCCUAAAC
rnacentral:ncRNA from 1 species